rnacentral:rRNA from 1 species
UCUCCAGGUGAGCACCGCUNNUANUNAGAGNNGNCNCNNANGACGGCANCCGNNGCNCUUUAGAGCUCAAUAUCUUGAAAUCUCACGGGCUUGCCNUGUGCGGAAUUGUAGUUUAGAGAAACGUUUUCGGGUGCGACUUGGGUAUAAGUCCUUUGGAAAGAGGCAUCAUAGAGGGUGAGAAUCCCGUUUAUGACCCAAUGCUCGUGCCUAUGUGAUACGUUUUCCAAGAGUCAGGUAGUUUGGGAUUGCUGCCUAAAAUGGGAGGUAAAUACCUUCUAAAGCUAAAUAUUGGCGAGAGACCGAUAGCGAACAAGUACCGUGAGGGAAAGAUGAAAAGAACUUUGAAAAGAGAGUUAAACAGUACGUGAAAUUGCCAAAAGGGAAACGCUUGGAACCAGUAUUGCCUCCAGGUAAUCAGCCUCACGUCCCGAAAGGGGUGCGUGUGGUGCACUUGCCUGUGGGCGGGCCAACAUCAGUUUGGCUCGGGGUAAAAAGCUAGAGAAAGGUAGCUCGAACUUGUUCGAGUGUUAUAGUCUCUGGUAAUGCCUUGGGCUGGACUGAGGUCUGCAGCGUUUUUUGGAUACCCGGUUGCCUCUUGAACCUCUUGUCUAGACAGCAUGCUGACUAGAGAAGCGUCUAGGGAGCCCAGUCGGUUCAUCACACCAACGCUUAGGAUGUUGGCGAAAUGGUUCCAAACGACCCGUCUUGAAACACGGACCAAGGAGUCUAACAUAUAUGCGAGUAUUUGGGUGGCAAACCCUUAUGCGAAAUGAAAGUGAACUUAGGUGGGAUCUUCGGUGCACCAUCGACCGGUCUGGAUUUUUUUGAUAGAUCUGAGUAAGAGCAUACAUGUUGGGACCCGAAAGAUGGUGAACUAUGCCUGAAUAGGGUGAAGCCAGAGGAAACUCUGGUGGAGGCUCGUAGCGAUUCUGACGUGCAAAUCGAUCGUCAAAUUUGGGUAUAGGGGCGAAAGACUAAUCGAACCAUCUAGUAGC